CAGCGACUGAAAGCAAUUACGGGAUGAGUGUCCAAGAGACAAAGCCUGGGCCUUGGGAGUCACCAGGCUGCAUCUCUUUCCCAGCUCUGCCCCCUGGCACUUCCAUAUAGACGCCACUUCCCUUGCUCUGCAGCUCGACUUCCCCUUCUGUAAAAACUGACCCAGCGGGGCCUGUCACCUGCCAAUGCCUCCAAGGCAGCCUGCUUACAGACUAUCGGGCAGGCACACAUUCUUACAUGGAGCCUCACGAUAGCUCAGGAGAUCCUCCUGCAGCAACGACUCCCUCGACUGUGACAGAAAAACGACGUAGGUUCCCAGCCACAGGAUCCACCCAGCGGCUGCGUCCACCCCUCCCCACCCUAUCAAGCCAGCACUGGAGACAGAGGAAAUGAGGAAAAGGCAAAGGUGGAAGAAACAGUCAUUAAGCACAUACCAAUGCAUGUGCAAGCAUUUUUACAGACAUUAUCACAGGCAGCUUUCUCAACCGCAUCCAUCCCCGGUUCACACCUCGGGACAAUGGACACGCCCAGCAGCAAGAUGAUUUUCUUGAAAAAUUCUGGAUAACAAGUUAACAAGCGGCAGGGCCACAGUCUGACCUCAGGCUUCUCACAGCAAAGUCAGCACACCUCCUUCUUCCUGCAGCUCUUGCUAACCCACUUCCCUG
rnacentral:lncRNA from 1 species